GGACUAUAACGAUUUCACUUGAGUCUGACAAAUGUCCAAUGUGCUCGGACAUUAGCUAAUAAUGGUCAGCCAGUCUUUCAAUAAUUGAUUGAUAGCUCGUCCUGAUCACAUCCUGCAUGAUCAGUCACAUUUCUUGUCUACCUAAUAAUGGUCGGCCAGUCUUUCAAUAUUUACAUUGAUAGCUCGUCCUGAUCACAUCCUUCAUGAUCAAUCACAUUUCUUGUCUAAAGACUUUUGGUAAGCAAUCCCAACAAUCCAUGCAACCGAAAAGUUAUUAGUCCCACCGAUGUUGUUUUCGAAUUUUCGUCGCAGUGAAGCGAGGAAAAUGUUUCAUGUUCCUUCUCUUGCUUUUAUGCUUUCUGAACAGUGGUGAUGAAAUAAUAUACCUUUAACUGAAGAGGAAACAGUCAAAAUGUACGUGCGGAAUAAAAUCAAUCGGUCAUUCAGUGUUUUUAUUCGGCAGUUAACCGAAUCCAAACUGGCAUCCUAUUGCCAUCCUGAACAACCGGAAAAACUGUGCAGUUGUAAAGGACUACUCCAUUUUGAGAUAUAAAGGCAGCAGACCACCACACCAUCGCAAAAUGAAACUUCUCUUAGUUUUGCAAAACUAAGAACAUUUGGGUGAUCCAUUUAGAUACAAUACUUGUCACGAAGUCUAUGAAUAAAUGAAUGAAAUCUCAUUCUCUAAGUCUAUGAAUAAAUGAAUGAAAUCUCAUUCUCUAAGGCUCUCAAGUUCCAGAAGACUGGAAGACACAUACCAAUUUUCAUAUUGGUAUUAACAUUUAUAGUACUUCUCGUUUUUCCAGCUUUUUCUGGCAACUAACAUGCAACCAACGAUAUCCACUUCCACGAUACACUGUGCCUUGUGGACUCCGCGACGACCCACACUAAGUGCCAGCAAGCUUUUUCGAGAAGGAUAAGUAACUUUUUAUCUCUAUACUCAUCCAAAUGAAAUCCACUCGGAUUAAAUUUGCUACAACGCUCGAUGUCACCGAGUUACCACGCAUGACAAAGAAGUAUGGGGUCAUCCAUUUAGUACAUACUAUGCGUUGGAGAGGAUAUAAUUGGUACGUUGGUUGGUCCAUCGGAUCUUCUUGUAGAAGGGAGGGAUACCAAAUAGGCAAAGAAACGAAAUAGAAUUUAAAAUAGACGAACGUUUGCGUAUGUACUAAAUGAGUGACCUAACUAUAGACCCCUUACAUGACGACGCCAUAUAAAUACAACUACCGGAAUUAAAGCACUUAUUGAGUAAUAAUCUUGAUAAAACAGAUAUAUUGUGGUGUUUUAAGUACAAAUAUGGAAAUUUUCAUUCGCACUGGUUUGGAAUAAACUAACAAUUUUGAGUACAAUUUCGCGAGGUUGAAACUUAAAAUUUCCAUAUUUUUACUUAAAACAUUAGAUUUUGACUGUUUUUCAUGGAUAUUACUUAACAAUUAUUCGCCGAAGGCGAAAUGAUUACCGGUGAAUAUUCACCGAGACGAAGUCGAGGUGAAUAUUCACGGUAAUCACUGAGCCUGAGGCGAAUAAUUGUUUUAGUAUAAAUUUUUAAUGAAUAAAACAAAAUAUCCAAAUAUCAGUUCAAUUAAAAUUUAAAAAUAAAACUGUUUUCGGCCUGUUCACGAUAUACUGUCACUAAUAUAGUGUUGCAGUGUUACUUGUACGCACACGCUUUCAAAAUGGCUUCUUG
rnacentral:lncRNA from 1 species